rnacentral:rRNA from 1 species
GAUGAACGCCGGCGGCGUGCCUAAUACAUGCAAGUCGAGCGGAAAGGCCUCUUCGGAGGUACUCGAGCGGCGGACGGCAGAGUAACGCGUAGGAACAUACCCCAAACUGAGGGAUAACUGCCCGAAAGGGUGGCUAAUACCGCAUGUGAUCUUCGGAUUAAAGCUUCGGCGGUUUGGGAAUGGCCUGCGUUCGAUUAGCUAGUUGGUGAGGUAAAGGCUCACCAAGGCGACGAUCGAUAACUGGUCUGAGAGGAUGAUCAGUCUGACUGGAACUGAGACACGGUCCAGACUCCUACGGGAGGCAGCAGUAGGGAAUUUUCCACAAUGGGCGAAAGCCUGAUGGAGCAACGCCGCGUGCAGGAUGAAGGCCCUUGGGUCGUAAACUGCUUUUAUGUGAGAAGAAUAUGACGGUAACACAUGAAUAAGGGUCGGCUAACUACGUGCCAGCAGCCGCGGUAAU